GACGAACGCUGGCGGCGUGCCUAGUACAUGCAAGUAGAACGCACAGUUUAUACCGUAGCUUGCUACACCAUAGACUGUGAGUUGCGAACGGGUGAGUAACGCGUAGGUAACCUGCCUGGUAGCGGGGGAUAACUAUUGGAAACGAUAGCUAAUACCGCAUAAUAUUAAUUAUUGCAUGAUAAUUAAUUGAAAGGUGCAAUUGCACCACUACCAGAUGGACCUGCGUUGUAUUAGCUAGUAGGUGAGGUAACGGCUCACCUAGGCGACGAUACAUAGCCGACCUGAGAGGGUGAUCGGCCACACUGGGACUGAGACACGGCCCAGACUCCUACGGGAGGCAGCAGUAGGGAAUCUUCGGCAAUGGACGAAAGUCUGACCGAGCAACGCCGCGUGAGUGAAGAAGGUUUUCGGAUCGUAAAGCUCUGUUGUAAGAGAAGAACGGGUGUGAGAGUGGAAAGUUCACACUGUGACGGUAUCUUACCAGAAAGGGACGGCUAACUACGU
rnacentral:rRNA from 1 species